rnacentral:rRNA from 1 species
AUUGAACGCUGGCGGCAUGCCUUACACAUGCAAGUCGAACGGCAGCAUGGGUGCUUGCACCUGAUGGCGAGUGGCGAACGGGUGAGUAAUGUAUCGGAACAUGCCCUGAAGUGGGGGAUAACGUAGCGAAAGUUACGCUAAUACCGCAUAUUCUGUGAGCAGGAAAGCAGGGGAUCGCAAGACCUUGCGCUUUAGGAGUGGCCGAUAUCGGAUUAGCUAGUUGGUGAGGUAAAGGCUCACCAAGGCGACGAUCCGUAGCGGGUCUGAGAGGAUGAUCCGCCACACUGGGACUGAGACACGGCCCAGACUCCUACGGGAGGCAGCAGUGGGGAAUUUUGGACAAUGGGCGCAAGCCUGAUCCAGCCAUGCCGCGUGAGUGAAGAAGGCCUUCGGGUUGUAAAGCUCUUUCGGCGGGGAAGAAAUAGUUUCGGUUAAUACCCGGAACUGAUGACGGUACCCGCAUAAGAAGCACCGGCUAACUACGUGCCAGCCGCCGCUGUAACAC